GUGCCUUAAAUAUAAAGGCGAGGAGCGGAGCGGAGCGGAGACUGGAGAGGGAGAGGAGGCGAGGGGGUAACGGGGAGCGGGAGGCGGAGCGCGGGAGGUCCUCGAAGCGUAGCGCUAGCGGAGGCGGCGGCGCUCGAGGGCAGGGUACCACCCGCGCGGGCGGCCGCCGAUCCCGAGGGCGGAGGGGGUGCCAAGCGGGGACGGGCCGGGCGUUAAAAGGCGCUAAAGACCCCGCUAAAGAGGCCUUGGGAGGCGGUAAACAGCCGCGACGAGGGGGCUUAGCAUGCGUCCCGAAACCGCCCUGAGGAGGAUUCCGCCUCCUCUACUCGCCCCUCCACCUUACGUCGCACACGGUGCGGUUCCAACGGCACGGCCGCCGCCGGCACAGGUUCCGGAUGCUGUCGGUGGCCUCGUGGCACAGCAGCGCCGUCGCGCGCGAAUUGCAGGAGGAGCAUAGGCCGCUGACGCAGGAGCGGCCGGAGGUCGGCUAUAACCAUAUGUACACAUUUCACCUACCCUUUAAGUUUAAAUCGGGUCAGUCACACUUGAAGAACUGUCUCUAAUGUUUUCAAUAGAAACGGUAGUAGUACGACAAGAAGGUCCGAUCCGCACAUUUCCACCCUCUCUUCGGUGAAGAGUGUCAAAGUUGUAAACACGUCCGACGGGUGUUGUUACAAGAAGAGCGCCACGGACGAAAAGAGAUACGGUAGUUGUUAAUAAACUUCAAAUGUUACGUCGAUAUGAAAUUAGGACGCUGUCACUUUUACGACCCAUUAGAGUUCCAAGACUAUUAACGACACGAGGAUUUCCACAAUGACUCCUCCGCAAAAAGGUGUUAAGUCACCCUUCGGGAACGAGACAACAAUUAACCUUAUAGACAAUUAGUCGACUUUAGUGACGGACUUCCAAGAUGACGUGAACCAGAAGGACAACGUCGACCCCGGAUGGAUAUGUGUGAUAAAAAAUAUUGUCAAGGACGUAACCGGAGUCAAAUGUUACUUUUCCGAGACUUUUCGGUCAAGCUAUGGUCGUAUAUAGAAGUCUUGAAUAAAAACAUACCUAUACCACGUUAUAAAUUAAAGGAACCCGAACACUAGUGACGGGAGUAGGUUCCCGGAGCAUCGAAAGUGUAAGACCUUCCCGUAAGUUUCCGGUGGUACAAAGAAUAAACGUUGUUACGACGUGUUCCGUAUGAAAGCAGUAAAAAGAAGUUUAUACGUCUAUGUUAAAACUUCUUCAUGAGUAGGUGUUAGCGGUGUUAGAAAUGACCCUAUCGCAGACGAUAUGACAAGCCAGUAUGAGACUGAUAUUUAAAACAAGAACCUUAUAGCUAUCAUUAAUAUAGAUACGUAGUCAUAGAGCGUUUGGUUUAAUUCCUAGUUCACGGUUCGUCGUUUUAACUCUACAGACUACGACUCCUACUGUCUAAUCUCCUUAGACAUUAACAGUUUCAACUGUGCCACCGUUCACUCCGAUUUGUGGCGGUACCUAGACUACUCUCCGUCGGUGAAGAAGGGCAGACUACAGCAGAUCCUCAAGGAGGCCAGGUAUACAUAUAGGCUUGAGAAGGAAAGCUGUCCCUCUACUCGUCGCAUCUACAGCGUUUGCGUCGCAGACGUGGACUUCGUCUCGUACACUACUAAAUAUAUCGGAACAUCGGAAAACUGGACUACAAGGACUCCGACGUGAUACUACAAAUUUCCCCAUGAUAGUCUCUCUACGGGUAAGCCAUCGUGCUACCGCUCGAACGACCCUAUGACAUCUCCCCUUGUUUACUUAACUGGAACAACAGCACUUUGACUACACUACCUAAUUUCUUAUUUAUAUAAGUCGUAAAGUCGGGUGUAAGUUUACCAAAGUAGAAAAACAAAAACG
rnacentral:rRNA from 1 species